UACGUAGGGGGCAAGCGUUGUCCGGAAUUAUUGGGCGUAAAGAGCUCGUAGGCGGUUUGUCGAGUCGGCGGGGAAAACUCGGGGCUCAACCCCGAGCCUGCAGUCGAUACGGGCAGACUAGAGUGCGGUAGGGGAGACUGGAAUUCCUGGUGUAGCGGUGAAAUGCGCAGAUAUCAGGAGGAACACCGGUGGCGAAGGCGGGUCUCUGGGCCGUAACUGACGCUGAGGAGCGAAAGCGUGGGGAGCAAACAGG
rnacentral:rRNA from 1 species